AGCAGCCGCGGUAAUUCCAGCUCCAAUAGCGUAUAUUAAAGUUGUUGCAGUUAAAAAGCUCGUAGUUGAAUUUCGGGGUCGGUAGGUUGGUCAUGCCUCUGGUAUGCACUGGUCUCACUGAUUCCUCCUUCCUGAUGAGCCGUAAUGCCAUUAAUUUGGUGUUGCGAGGAAUCUGGACUGUUACUUUGAAAAAAUUGAGUGUUUAAAGCAAGCUAACGCUUGAAUACAUUAGCAUGGAAUAAUGGAAUAGGACGUUCGAUCCUAUUUUUGUUGGUUUCUAGGAUUUGACGUAAUGAUUAAUAGGGAUAGUUGGGGGCAUUAGUAUUCAAUUGUCAGAGGUGAAAUUCUUGGAUUUUAUUGAAGACUAACUACUGACGAAAGCAUUUUGCCAAGGAUGUUUUCAUUAAUCAAGAACGAAGUUAGGGGAUCGAAGACGAUCAGAUACCGUCGUAGUCUUAACCAUAAACUAUGACCGACUAGGGAUCGGAUGAGUUGUUUAAUUUUUUAAUGACUUCAUUCC
rnacentral:rRNA from 1 species